GAUGAACGCUGGCGGCGUGCCUAAUACAUGCAAGUCGAGCGAACAGACGAGGAGCUUGCUCCUCUGACGUUAGCGGCGGACGGGUGAGUAACACGUGGAUAACCUACCUAUAAGACUGGGAUAACUUCGGGAAACCUGAGCUAAUACCGGAUAAUAUAUUGAACCGCAUGGUUCAAUAGUGAAAGACGGUUUUGCUGUCACUUAUAGAUUGAUCCGCGCCGCAUUAGCUAGUUGGUAAGGUAACGGCUUACCAAGGCAACGAUGCGUAGCCGACCUGAGAGGGUGAUCGGCCACACUGGAACUGAGACACGGUCCAGACUCCUACGGGAGGCAGCAGUAGGGAAUCUUCCGCAAUGGGCGAAAGCUUGACGGAGCAACGCCGCGUGAGUGAUGAAGGUCUUCGGAUCGUAAAACUCUGUUAUUAGGGAAGAACAAAUGUGUAAGUAACUAUGCACGUCUUGACGGUACCUAAUCAGAAAGCCACGGCUAACUACGUG
rnacentral:rRNA from 1 species